CUUUGCGCUUGGGGCAAUGACGCAGCUAGUGAGGUUAUACCGAGGCGCGUCAAUUGCUGGUUGAAAACUAUUUCCAAACCCCCUCUUUGGCCUUCCGGGGCCACUGAGAAUUUCUGCAAGGGCUCCCUCUCCUCGGAGAGGGGAAAGCCCUACAAAUCUAAUCCAAAUUUGCUUUAUUUUCGCCUGAUUGAAAUUUGCCAUUCACAUGAUUCUUAAAUUUCGAUAAGGCUCGAGGAUUUUUCUGUUUAUACGUCAAUACUCUUUUUAGCGAGCAGUCCUGAGGUACGUACGCUCAGGUAACCGCUUCCCCAUCUAAACGAAAACACGCUUCCCCUGCUGUGUUGGCGUAAUACUACCCGUUACCAGCAUACGCAUCUCCAGCGACGCCAAAUUCCCCAAAAGUUCUUCCCUUUCGCGCCUCCUCCGCACCAUGCCGCCGCCGUCGGUGGCGCGGCAGGUGGCGGAGAUUGCGGCGGAGCCCGACCGCGCGGCCGCGUACGCGCGCCUCCUCCACCUGCAGCGCGCGUGCGCCGAUGACCCCUCCGCCGCGGCCGACCUCGCGGCGGCCUCCUCCUCCGCCCUGCUCCCGCUCCUCCUCCGCGACGCCGCCGAAGAUGAUGAGGCCGUAGCCGCCUCCGCACUCAAGUGCCUCGGCUUCGCGCUCUACCACCCCGUCCUCGUCUCCACCAUCUCAGGACAGUUGGCUCAAUUGGUAUUGGCUACUUUGGUUCGGCUGAUCAUGACCACCAAGAUGAAGGCUAUUUGUAAUCUUGCAGUCUGGUGCAUUUCUGUUCAACAAUUGGAGGCUUCGGUGGUAGAGGAUGGAGUAACUCCCUUGCUCAAUGCUAUUGUUUAUGCCCUUGACAAUCCAUUUGGUUCUUUGUCUACAACAUUUGAGGCUGUUCAGGCUACCAUGAAACUUGCUAGUCAAUAUCCAAAAGGAAUGAGAGACCAAUCAAGCAUAUGGGUUCCCCCAAUAUACCGAAGACUCUUAAGUGCUGACAAGCCGGAAAGGGAUAUGUCUGAAAGAUGCCUCAUUAAGGUGUCAUCAGUUAUUUUACCUCCUCAAUCUCCUCUUUCCAAGGAAGUAGCUUUGGACCUUGAGCAAAAGCUACUCUCUUCUGUGCUUGAUAUGCUCAAUGACCCUUCAAAGAAAAUUCAAGCAGUAAAGUCAUGGGGAUGGUUCAUAUCCUUACUUGGCGCACGUGCAGCGAGCACUAGACCUCUACUUAACAAAAUGCUUAAGGUCCCUGAGCAAUUAUUUACUGAUCCUGAUCCUCAAGUUCAGAUAACCACAAUGGUUACCUGGACAAAUUUGGUGGAUGCAUUUUUUGGGCCACAGGCUUUAGAAAAUAUGGAUCAGGGGACAGUGAUGUCUCCUAUUGAACCCAGAGCACAUGCUAGUGCUCAGAUGAAAAAGAUAAGGCUAAUUAUGAUGCCUUUAUGUGGAGUUCUGUCAAGAAGUCAUAAUAUUGCUUUAAGUUCCUCCUGCUUGAGCACAUGGCAUUACCUUUUAUAUAAGCUUGGUGAUUCGAUUAACCAUUUAUCCAUUCUAGAGGCUGCUUUUGGGCCAGUACUCAAGAUAAUUUUCUCCACUAGACUUGAUAAUCAGAACAAGCCACUGUGGUCAUUUUGCAUCAAUCUGUUUCAUGACUUUAUUUCAGUAAGAGUUAGGCAUUUGAUCUCACCCGAAGAUAAUGUGUGUGUUCCACUGAAUCAGAACUUGCUAUCCCAAACUUGUACGCAUCUCAAGGUCUUGUUUGAUGUUCAUCAAAUCAAAUGGUUACCAUGGGAUGUUAACAGCUUUGAUUUUCAGUUGGAGAUCCUUGGCUCAAUUGUGAAUCCAGAACUACUUCAUAACAUGACUGCUGACAUGGCCGUAACUAUUAUGGACUCCACAACACAAACUUUCAGGUUGCUUCUACAGGGAGUUCGAGUUCAGUGUAACUCAAAGCUUGCUGAUGACAAUGCCAUGAUAUGCAUUACUAAGGCAUGCAAGUUUGUAAAGGAGGUGUUUCUGGAUAUGGUAGGAAAGCAAAAGAGUAACAGUUCCACACUGUUGGUACAGUUUUGUCUUCAGUUUGUGAAGUGUACUGUAGAGGAACUGGAUAAUUCUCUGUUGGCUUCUGGAAAGUAUGAGUUAUGCUUAGACAUCGAACAAAUAAAGGAGAUUGAAUAUGCAGAAUGCAGUCCGAAGCUAUCUCAUCCAAGAAUCAGGCCACUUGCUUACCUGGAGUUGGUUUCUCCAGCAGUUUACUUGACUGCACUAUCUCUGUCAAUCGUAGCUCAGUUUACUGGAGAAUUGUCACCUGGAGAUGCCGAGCAAUUGGCUUCAAUUAUCUGUCCACCUGAUCUACUGGGGAACUUUCAUGUUGUCGUUGCUUUUUUGUAUAUGCAGAUCAUGCGUCCAGUAGAUAGUCGGCUAAGAAUAAAAUGGUUGGUGGUGUGGAACAAAGUGUCAAAGCGCUUGAAUGAGCAAAUGAUGUCUUACUUGAAGGUUGGCUGUGGUGCAAGUGGCCAUGAUGUACUCUGUCAGUUCUUCUGUUACCCAUUUUUUGCUCUUGUAUCCCCUGGGAGUAUAUCUGCUCAUUGGAAUGCUGAAAAUAGUUCCGAAGGUUACCUUAACAUGACACAAGACUUGGAGGUGGAGCUGGUUAUCGAGGUUUAUCGAUCCUUUUGUACAAACUCCAGUUAUUGUUCAGAGCCUGCUUACAUGGUUUUCCUAGAGCACUUUUUUGAAUAUUUGAUCCACAUAAUUGAUGAAAACAUGUCCCCAAUCCAAGCCAAUCUCAAGUAUUGCUUAGAGAAGAAGUUUAAAAACAUUACUAUCCUAUCUGUUCUUGGCAACGUAGUUAUUGGACUACUAGAGAAUGCCCAAAUUUUUACCUAUGCUAACAAAGAGAUAGAAGUAACGACAAAUGAGGAGCCUGCUGGAUCCAAAGGACCUAACCUUAUGUUGACUUGCUUGAAGCUUGGUAACAGGUUUAUGAAGCUAUCAGGUCUUGCUUUCAAAGAAAAUCCAGCUGCACGACACCAAGUCACAAGCAGGUAUUUCUCAUCUUUAUCUGAUUUUGUUGGACAUCUUACAUCGAUGAAAGACAUUCUUCUACUCUUUGAGAUAAUUGGGGAUCAAUUUACUGAAUGGCUCACCUUAUCUAGCACAUCGUGCGGCAUAAUACAUCAAGGAGAAACCAUUGACCAGCUUGAGAAACUCUGGCUCAACACUGUCACGUGCCUGACGACGAGCCGACUCAUCAGCGACUGCUCCUUCCUUGGAAAGCAUCAUCUGCUUCUCCAAGUGGCGGUUGACCACCCACACGGCCCCAUUUCAGCUGCAACCACGGCAAUCCGGAGAUCACCAGGAUCCAGCAACGCAGGCUUGCGGCACGCUGGACGUCGGUCAGUUUCCAAGGCAGAUGAGCUGUCUCUAGACAGAUCAGGGAAGGAUCAUAACUGUGCUAGCGACGCCGAGAGGGCCUUCGUGCUCGAAGAACUCAACAUCUCGAGGAUGUCCGUGGCGCCAAUGUUGUUGGGUAGAGGAACCGGCACGUCAAACACGACUGAUCGCGCCCCGAAGAACCGUGAGUCGCUCAGGGUCUCUGCCGGUCUGGGGAGGAAGAGGCUGAAGAUUAUGAGGUACUCAGGCAAGGGGAAGGGACCCGGCAAAGUCACCGACGCCUCCUUCUCGCCGGGCUGGGCGGAAGGUGAAGUUUGCAGGAAACCAGAACUUAUAUUGGAAAUGCUCAAGAGGAAGAGAUAGUAGCUUGAACCCAUCCCCAUGUAUGUAUGCCAUGGUUGUGUACUUGUAUAUGUAUCUAAGUGAAGCCUACGCCGGACCUCCAUUAGGAAAAUAGUGUACGCCUGACAAGAAGUGAUGCCAAGACAUCACUGCACUUUACGCCAUCACCCAGCCAGCAGGGUGAGGAGUGAUGCCGUCUCCAACCUGCAUGCCAGCUUCGCAGUGUCUGCUCUCCAUUCGUCAGAAUCAUCAGCGCCAGUCAGGAACAUCAAACUGUCCAACACACUGAGCAUCAUCACCAGUCAGGGUUGAAACUGAAAUUUUACAUGCUUCAGAAUUUUGAAAGAUCGUUUCCACCAGAUAGUUUCUCUUGACUUGUGAGCAGUUAUCAGUUGCUACUUGCAAUUGAUACCCAAAAAACUAAGCGUUUGGAGCUAGGAGUUAUCUAAGCAUUUCAGAACUGAUACUCAU